CAGUCGUACCUGCGGGUAAUCAGCCUUUUGGGCAUGAUUCUGUGGAGCGUGAGGAGUUAAACGCCUUCAUGCCUGCAUAUUCGUGUACUUUGGGUGUACUUGCCUGUGUGGUUAGUUAACAUCAAUUUUGGUUAUCAUAAAAUGGUUGGAGGAAUGUAGCUUCGAUUUCGAUUGAAGUGUUAUAGCCUUCGGCAGAUGUGAUGAUCGGGAUUGAGGAUUGCAACGGAUACCCUUCGGGGCUACCUGUCUGGUCUCUGAUCGUUGCUCUGGUGCCGAAAGCGUGCUUACGGUUAUCAAAGUCGAUGGUCAACAGGUUAGAACGGGUUAAA
rnacentral:rRNA from 1 species